rnacentral:lncRNA from 1 species
AUGGUGGCUCGGGUGUCAGUCACGUCGGUAUGUAAAUAUUCAGAGAGCCACACACCCCACCCAGGUAAUCGCUGCAUUGCAGACUCGGAAAACUAUGUGACCUGCCCUUCAGCAAAGACUCUCCUGGGGCUACAAAAGAGCUGGGCCGUGUGGGCAGGGCCUCCUAGGAGAAAGAGCCGUGCCUGUGGUCAGACUGCCAAGACUGAGAUCCCAGCACCAUGGCUGCUGUUCUGUCUCAAGGAGUUUUCCGACCUGAGGCCUCGGUCCUCAGACACACAACAUGGGGAAAAAGUCCCAGGAGCCACCAGGGACCGGGGUGCAGAUUUCUCAUUCUUGGUGGAUUCAGAACAAAUGAAACAUAUUGGGCAACUUGGAACUCAGCCAAGGGCUGCCCAACGCUAUGACAUUCCAACGCUGUGCCCAAAGCCAAGCCGGGCGCGGGACCGUGUGCGUAAGCUCCCCGCGGAGCGUCCGGGGUAAGCAGGUGCUGCUGGCGAUUCGGGGAGGCAGGGGCUCCUUGUGUUUGGCUACUUGGUAGCCAGCAGUUGUUAAAUAAACAGUCACUAAUAUUUAUCA